rnacentral:rRNA from 1 species
UACGCAGGGGGCUAGCGUUGUUCGGAAUUACUGGGCGUAAAGCGCACGUAGGCGGAUAUUUAAGUCAGGGGUGAAAUCCCGGGGCUCAACCCCGGAACUGCCUUUGAUACUGAGAGGCUCGAGUCCGGGAGAGGUGAGUGGAACUGCGAGUGUAGAGGUGAAAUUCGUAGAUAUUCGCAAGAACACCAGUGGCGAAGGCGGCUCACUGGCCCGGUACUGACGCUGAGGUGCGAAAGCGUGGGGAGCAAACAGG